rnacentral:rRNA from 1 species
GGGGAAUCUUCCGCAAUGGACGAAAGUCUGACGGAGCAACGCCGCGUGAGUGAUGACGGCCUUCGGGUUGUAAAGCUCUGUUAAUCGGGACGAAUGGUUCUUGUGCAAAUAGUGCGAAGAUUUGACGGUACCGGAAUAGAAAGCCACGGCUAACUACGUGCCAGCAGCCGCGGUAAUACGUAGGUGGCAAGCGUUGUCCGGAAUUAUUGGGCGUAAAGCGCGCGCAGGCGGAUUGGUCAGUCUGUCUUAAAAGUUCGGGGCUUAACCCCGUGAUGGGAUGGAAACUGCCAAUCUAGAGUAUCGGAGAGGAAAGUGGAAUUCCUAGUGUAGCGGUGAAAUGCGUAGAUAUUAGGAAGAACACCAGUGGCGAAGGCGACUUUCUGGACGAAAACUGACGCUGAGGCGCGAAAGCCAGGGGAGCGAACGGGAUUAGAUACCCCGGUAGUCCUGGCCGUAAACGAUGGGCACUAGGUGUAGGAGGUAUCGACCCCUUCUGUGCCGGAGUUAACGCAAUAAGUACCCCGCCUGGGGAGUACGACCGCAAGGUUG